UCCGUAGGUGAACCUGCGGAGGGAUCAUUACCGAGUUCAUGCCCUUACGGGUAGAUCUCCCACCCUAUGUUAUAUUACCUUUGUUGCUUUGGCAGGCCGUCAGGCUUCGGUCAGGCUAUCGGCUCCGGCUGGUAAGCGCCUGCCAGAGGACCCCAAACUCUGAAUAUUAGUGUUGUCUGAGUACUAUAAAAUAGUUAAAACUUUCAACAACGGAUCUCUUGGUUCUGGCAUCGAUGAAGAACGCAGCGAAAUGCGAUAAGUAAUGUGAAUUGCAGAAUUCAGUGAAUCAUCGAAUCUUUGAACGCACAUUGCGCCCCUUGGCAUUCCGAGGGGCAUGCCUGUUCGAGCGUCAUUACAACCCUCAAGCACUGCUUGGUAUUGGGCUCCGCUGGUUUCAGCGGGCCUUAAAAUCAGUGGCAGCGCCGUCUGAGCUCUGAGCGUAGUAAAUAUCCUCGCUAUAGAGACCAGGUAGCUCUCGUCAUCAACCCCCAACUUUCUAAGUUUGACCUCGGAUCAGGUAGGGAUACCCGCUGAACUUAAGCAUAUCAAUAAGGCGGGAGGGGAAGGUCGGACUGGCCAAGGGCACACAGGGGGGGAUA
rnacentral:rRNA from 1 species